rnacentral:rRNA from 1 species
ACGAACGCUGGCGGCGUGCCUAAUACCUGCAAGUCGAACGCAUUUUCUUUCACCGUAGCUUGCUACACCGAAAGAAAAUGAGUGGCGAACGGGUGAGUAACACGUGGGUAACCUGCCCAUCAGCGGGGGAUAACACUUGGAAACAGGUGCUAAUACCGCAUAAUUCCAUUUACCGCAUGGUAGAUGGAUGAAAGGCGCUUUUGCGUCACUGAUGGAUGGACCCGCGGUGCAUUAGCUAGUUGGUGGGGUAACGGCCUACCAAGGCUGCGAUGCAUAGCCGACCUGAGAGGGUGAUCGGCCACACUGGGACUGAGACACGGCCCAGACUCCUACGGGGGGCAGCAGUAGGGAAUCUUCGGCAAUGGACACAAGUCUGACCGAGCAACGCCGCGUGAGUGAAGAAGGUUUUCGGAUCGUAAAACUCUGUUGUUAGAGAAGAACAAGGAUGAGAGUGGAAAGUUCAUCCCUUGACGGUAUCUAACCAGAAAGCCACGGCUAACUACGUG